GGCGGGGCCUCCCUAAAGGCGCCCGAGCCCAGCGAACGUAGACGGCAGAGCCGCAGUGUUAGGAACGGGCCCGUGAGAAGAGAAAACGCUCGUAAAAACAGUUACGGACUUACUUCCGCAGCAACCACAGAAACUCUUCUUGGAACGUAGUGGCUUUGAUCUCGCGAGGGGGAGCGCGGCUUAGUGCCUGAUGGAAGUCUCCAGGACCAGUCAUAACGACCAGGAGGCAGGAACAAUGCGGGUCAAAGCCCUCUUCGUCAGAACCCUAAUUCUAAUGGUGCUCUAUAUCUUCUUUGCUCUUGCAGCCAUCGGAAGACUGUGUGAAAAAUGUGAUGGCAAGUGUGUGAUCUGUGACUCCUAUGUGCGUCCCUGUACCCUGGUGCGCAUAUGUGAUGAGUGUAAUUAUGGCUCUUACCAAGGGCGCUGUGUGAUCUGUGGAGGCCCCGGAGUCUCCGAUGCCUAUUACUGUAAGGAAUGCACCAUCCAGGAGAAGGAUCUCUGUGAGCCAAACUGGGUGUAGCUCAAUAAAAGGCAAGAGAAGUGCAGAGAAGCAACUCUUUGUCAACACCUGCAAUUUGGAGAGCCCUGUCUCUAUUCCUUUGAUGUCUCCCUGUGAUGGUUGUUACCCAGAAACAACAUCCUGCAUUUAGAGAUGGUUGCCCAAAGAUUGUCAAUUUGGGGAGCUCUAAGACUGAUCUCUUCUAUGAACGCAAAAAAUACGGCUUCAAAAAGAGGUGAUUGGCCGGUGGUCCCUUCCUCCCCCCAUCAAGCUGCUGCAGCUGCCAGAGAAGACACCCAUGACCACCAGCAGAAAGGCACUGGAACCCAGAACAUCACCAGACUUGCCUGUUAGUAUACUGGCACCUUUCCACCCCCUUCCUCUCCCCUCACCCGGACAUGUGGUAGGAACAGAAAAGGAUUUUUCGUAGAGCAUUCUGGCAGACUGUCUCAGAGAGAAAUUGAUAGAUUAGUUGGUUUUUCUUGAAUUUGAGACACAAGCCUCUGUUCUCCAUGUGGAUGUUUUUCUCUACACUGAGAGCCUCUAAAGAGGAAUAAUAUCAUUUGUCUUCUGUUUGGGGCAUUGCCUAUGAAGCUGUCCUCACCACCACAGUGGGAAAUGUGAUCUUACAGCAGCCCGGAUGGCAGUUGCCCUUGAUGAAACAUCUUUAGGGUGUGGUGGGGAGCUGUCCGAACAAUAAACAAGGGAUUGGAUCUUGUAAAGCUUACCGGGUGGUGCUGGUUUCAUGUUAUUUUUCUUCUGAGAAAUUAGGAACCCUUUCUGUUGCUAUCAUAUUAAUAAAAUUGGUGUUUAUUUUCUGGUAGUUGGUCACCUUCCUCAUUUAAAUUUAACUCUAGGAAUUUAUUUUAGUCAUCCAAGAAUGUGUGAUUCAAAUGAGAGGAAGAGGAAUUCAUUAAGACCUCGUCCUCUUACUGCCACUGGAAUAAAUUCAAAACCACUCAUACUGUUCAUUAUGUAUAGAUAAACCAAAGUCAUUUUUGAAAACUUGGCUAUUUUUAAACUGAAGUGGUGGCUUCUAGUAAUGGUGAAGGGACUGAGACAAAAUUAAAUCAAAUUGAUGAGUUAGGAAGAUUCAACUUAGUUGAUUUGUUUCAUAAAGCUCUUAUUUACUAACAUUGAGGGGAUGUUUUCAUUUUGAGAAGGCUUGUAUUUUUUUAAGCAGAUUAAGAGAUAACUCCUCUUCCUUACCCUGACUGGACUCUGUGUAAUUUCUACAUGCUGAACCCUGAUGGCAUGGUCGUUAAGCUACAGCUGCGAACCAAAAGGUUUGCAGCUCAAAUUCACCAGCCGCUCUUUGGAAACUCUAUGGAGCGGUUCUGCUCUGUCCUGUAGGGUUGCAAUCAGUCAGAAUCAACUCGAUGGCAAUUGGUUAGACGUAAUUAGCAAGUUAUCCUUAAGAGACACAGUCAUAGUUUGAGACAUCAAGCCAAGCAGGUCUUUGACGCUGGGUCUUAAGAAGAGGUUGUGAGUCCUGAUGGCCCAAGGUAACACUGCAACUUGGCAGCAAAGCCAAGGAAAGAAAUGAGAGUCUCCUCACUGCUUAUCCAGGGUUUUGGUUUGGGUCAAUAUUUAUGAUGUAUUGAGUGUACAAAAUUGAAUUAAAAUAAUCUCUGCCUUCAAAGAUUUUACUAAGGGAACCUGACAGGAACAGAUAAUUCCAGCAUAACCCAGAGACUGUACACAGAGGUUCUUGGCCCAGCUUGAGGGUACAUCAGGAAGAGGGGGAAGAUCAUAGCCCUAAGGCAGGGGAUAAAAAGCCUUACCAUCACCUGCCAGGCACCUUAAUGGCCUCUAGGACAGUGGGGCUUUUCAGUUCCUCAAGCUGCUGCUGCUUGCUUUCCUGUCUUAGUGCUUUUUUACCCUAAACCCCUCUGUAAUCCCUGUCCUAUUGUUUAGCUAACUCCUACUCAUCCUUUAGAUCUCAGCCAAAUAUUUCCUCAAAGAUGCUUGUCACAACCCCCAAUCUAAGUCAGCUCCCCUUUUUACACUCCCACAUAGCACCCUGUAUGUUUUCUUCAUAGCAUUUGGUGAUUAUUGACUGUUGCCUACUAGGCUGUACGCCAGGAGGGCAGGAACCAAGCCUGCUCCGCCCAGCGUAUAGCAGGUGCUUAUAUUUAUUUAACGACUAAUUGAAGUGAUGAAAACUGGAUAAUAAACUGGGCUUUGAAGGGUAUGUUGGAGCCUACAGGCAAAGGGGGAGGAGGAGGAUAAGGACAUUGGUGGCAGGAAAACAGUCUCAGCAAAGGCAAAGUGCUAGACCGAGCAUGUUUGAGGAGUUCUACGGGGGACUGGUUACUAAAGAAUCAGGUGGGGGUUGGGAUAUGUCAAGAGAGUUGGCAGAAACCAGAUCAUGUUCAGAUUAGAAUUAGAAUUGGUAAUUAAUUCCACAGUAACUUUAGUUUUAAUAUGUCAUAUAAGUCCAAAUGCUUUAUUUUACCAGAAAUAUUUUUUCCAAUUGCCUAUUAAGCACCCUAGUCCACAUUGCAUCUACCAAUGUCUCAAAGGCCACUCCUUAAGUUUCAGCAAAAUGCCACCCUGAGCGUGCCCACAUCCAGCGUUAAAGACUUUGUGAGGGAGUGCCAGAUGAACACCCAGUAGCAUCUCCAAGGGCAUGCCCCCUCCACACGGAUCUGCAAGUUCAACCUUAGCCCAGUAAAUUCAGCAGCCCUCUCCUCUGUCACCUAAUUUCAUAAUGCCAUCCUUGGCUUGUUUCUUUGUGAUCAUCAGAGACCAAAAGAGGAAUAGAACGUAAUGAGUGAAAUAACACCUGGGAUAAAGAGUCUUGAAGUUCAAAUCCUUAAUUGCUGUCUACCUUGGGCUUUGGGAUAUUGCCCUUCCAAGUUUAAAAAUUAGGAUAAUGAUACUUCCAAAUGCUCUGCUGAGAAAAUACUGCUUACAAGCUGAAUGUUAACUCCCAAGAGUAUAUAGUUCUGUGAAGAGACUGAGAAUAAUGUCAGCCAAAUGUAUAUCACCACAGAAAGUCAGAAUGGUCUAGCGUUCUCCAUUUUUCAAAUAAGCACUACCUAUGGAAAACCUGCUGGUCAGCAUUCGAAUCCACUUAAUGGCAGUGGUUUUUUUUUUUUUUUUUUUUAUGUAGGUCUAGUUGAAAUAAUCGAACUCUUAAUGGUCGGCCUAAGAAAACUAAGGUUCCCCUUUCUGGAUUAUCACUACUAUUUCUGCUGUCGCUACUCCUUUAAUAAGUAUUCAAUGUAGUACACACUUUUCUUUGCCAACAGUAUAAUUCAAAUGCAUCAGUUCUUCAUUCUUCCUUAUUCGUGGUCCAUCGUCCAUGGCUUGGGUCAGGCGCACCUUGGUUCUCAAAGUGACAUCUUUGCUUUUUAACACUUUAAAGAGGUUUUUGCAGCCGAACAAACAUCUGUCUUGGAAGAAGUACAGUCAGAAUGCUGUUUAGAAGGGAGAAUGGUAAGACUUUGUCUCACUUACUUUGGACAUGUUAUCAGGAGGGACCAGUCCCUGGAGAAGGACAUCAUGCUUGGUAAAGUAGAGGGUCAACAAAAAAGAGGAAGGCCCUUGACAAGAUGGAUGGACACAGUGGCUGUAACGAUGGGCUCAAACACAGCAACAAUUCUGAGGAUGGGGCAGGACUGGCCAGUGUUUUGUUCCGUUGUACACAGGAUCAUUAUGAAUCGGAACCAACUUGACGGCACCUAACAACAACACUACAUACUCAGUUCUAGGUUCUAAAAAGGAUGAGUGUCUUCGUACUUCCAGCUUCUCACUCAGAUACACUGUACACAUGUCAAAUUAAUCUCCCUUCAAAAACUACUUAUCACGUGCUUUUGCUUAAAGAAUGGGGGGUGUAAUGGGAAAUGUACGGCUUUUAUAAGUUUAGACACGUUUGAAUUCUGCACUGCUAUUCACCAGCAAGUCAUUUAGUCUCUCUGUGCUUCUGUUUCCUUAUUUAUUAAAUAAGGAUAAUAGUGCUUAUCUCUUCAAAUUGUGUGGAUUACAUUGGUGCCCUUCCUGGAAAAGGCACUAUAUAAUAUAAAUGGUAGUUCUUAUACAAUAAGUCCAUACUUCAUACAUAAAUUUCUCUCCCUUGUCAUCAAGUUGGCUCCAACUCACAGCGACCUUAUAUAAAACAGUACAAAAUGUUGCCAGGUCCGGCACCGUCUUCGUGAUUGUUGGUAUGUUUGAGUCCACUGUUUGAGCUAUUAUGUCAAUCCAUCUCAUUGAGUGUUUCCCUCAUUUUCACUGACCCUCCACUUUAUCAACCAUGAUGUCCUUUUCUAGUGACUGGUCUUCCCAAUGACGUGUCCAAAGUAAGCGAGCCAAGGUCUUGCUAUCCUUACUUCUAAGAACCAUCCUCCUUUACUCCCAGGGUUUUUCCUCUCUCACUCUGUGCCCUCUAGUCCAUCCCUGCGUACUUCUAUCUUCUUGCCUCUGUUUCCUUUGAAGUACCCUUCCACCUUUACCUCAGUCGGCCAACUCUACCUCUUCCUUCCAGCAUCUUGACAUCUCAUGCCGCCUCCAGAUGCUUCAUACCCCACAACCUCUCACACACUUCAAUUAUUUUCAUUCCAAGUACCUAUAUCUAACAAAAACAAGUUUCGUGAAACAAUAUUUACUACUGUACUUCAAUAUUUUUAUCCCAUUCUAUUCUAAAAUUUCUGGCUGAAAUCCAUUGAGUGAUUUUAUGACCCCACUAACUGAUCACAGCUCAGGAUUUAAAAGGUGAACUAGAUGAUAUGGUCCUUGAGCUUCUUUUGCCUCACCCUUCAUUGGAGGGCGCACAGUAGGCAGGCACUCAAUUACUUGUUACACUGAACUAAAAAGGGAGUCACAAACUCAGGACUCUGCCUAAGGAAUAUAAUUGAAAAGGGAUGGGUGUAAGAAGAAUAGCUCAAGCAUGAUGAUAAAUGGUAUGUCACCCUAGGCCUCAGUGUCUGAGAGACAAUAGGGGACAGUGGAAACCUUGGGGAACCAGAGAACACAGGCCCUGUCUAAAGGAGACAGCUGCUAUUCAACUCCAGACAAUUGUUACUAGCUUGAAUGGCUAGUGUUACCAGAUCUUUUGAAUUUAGGACAAGUGGCAAGUUAUUUUUGUGCAAUAUCCCAAUGUUUAAAUAUUGGCAACUCUUUUAAAAAUUUUGUACUAUGGCAUAUGCCAAAAUACAUCCUCAGAUGUGGACCUUGGCCUGCCAAUUAGCAGUUUCUAAAUUAAGAUAAUUAACUUCCCAAACUGAACUGACUAAAUUUCAGAGAGACUGUGUGUCACUCUAAUCUAACCUCUAGCUCUUAAUAGUAGUUUGAAGCUAAGAGAUAGAACAAGGUGGAAGGGUCUUUGCCUUAAUUGGGAUUUUCCUGCCAUUAAAAAAAAAGGGAGGGGGAAUUCAAUUUUGCCAUCUCUUCCCAUUUACUGACCUCCUUAUCAACUCUAUCCCCCCCAGUGGCUGGUCACCACCACCAAGGCUAAAAUGUUACUUUCUUUGAACACUGCGUUUUAGGGUCUUAGCAAAGGAUAGGCUAGUCCACUUACGUUGUUUACUAGAAUUCACUCACAGUGGUAUUGGUGAACAGCCAAUCAUUUGCCCUCAGCAUCCAAUCUCUCUUUUCCAAAGCCAGUUUUGCUAUGGCUGUCUUUGCUGCUGCCCAUCUAGAGCAGUGGAUCCAACGAAUCAAAUGGAGAAACUGUUUUGGGGAUAACUUCAAAGAAACAAUACGAAAUUUCUCGCCCUGGCCUGUUGUGUAUGAGUGACUCAUCCCUGAGAAUUAGUUAAUUGGGGCCAAUUACAACCAGCCUGACCUGUCAAAGCACAAAAACAUAGGCAGAACUUGCUUCCUCUCUGAGAAUUUGCCCAGCCAGUGUUCCCUUGGCACAUGUUUACUUCUCAAGCUCACCAUUUUGAAAGCACCAUGUGUGCCUUUCAACAUACGAUUAUUCAAAAAGGGAGGCGACUCUGGAAUGCUUGACUAGGAAUUCAACUCACAAUUAAGCCCUGACAAGAUGAAAUCACACGUUGAGGAGAGAAAAACCACAGGAUAAAUGGAGACAUCAGCAAUUAAGGAGGGUGAUUACCUUUUAUUCCCUCUAUUUUAUCUUUUCCUAUUUCUACGCGAGCCCUUUACCCAGAGCUUCAGUUUGCCAAGGAGCCUGGAUUUCUCGGCUUCCCUUUUAGUGAUGCUCCUUAGGGCUGAUGGGUUUGCAGCACUGCAAGGGAGAUUUGAAUAAAAGCCUUCCUCCUCCUAGGGACUGGGGCCACUCUUCCUCAGCCUGCACAGAUUGGUGGAACACAUCUACCCUUUAUCCCCACAUCUGGACUCCAUCCGUCCUUCCUGAGAUGCUGCAGGAGAACUCCUUUCAACUCACCCUCACUUUUCUCCUUCCGCCUUGGAAGGAUAUGUAGGACGCGACGCAGUGUGGCCAGAACGGUUACCUUUUAAGUAUAGAAACCACUUGGCCAGGCCUUACAUACAGUCUUACAAUUAAUCUUCACGCGACUUUAUAUUAAACCUCACGAUUUUCUGUCAGGAAACUGAGGUUUGAUGUUUUAAAAAGAGAUCUGUUGUCAUUAAAUCGAGUACUAUUAAAUGAAGAUCACACAGUAGGUGGCAAAACUGGAAUUCAAACCCAUGUAGUUCCACGACUGCCUUUAAUGUGACUACAAAUACCAGCAUCCCUUACGGUGCCCUACUGCGCAAACGCCACCCCCGCAAGGGCCCGGCGUCCUCGGCCCUCUCGGUCCCCCUCCUUAGUCCUAGCGGUUAGAUCCAAAACCCAAUCAGACGGCACCCCGCCCCGCGCUCCGACCAAUGGGUAGGCUGUUGCUAACGCUGCAGCUGUAUUUUUAGCUCUUCAAUUCUCUGGAGCCUAGUGGGGCUGUUGGGUCUCGCUCCCCGGGUAGAACUCGUGAAGGGAAGGGAGGAGAGGGAAGUGGAGGCGGGGGAAGAGGGGAGGGAAGCGAGGUAGAGGAGGGUGGAGCGGAGCCAGGCGGAGGGGCGCGUGUGUGACGCGCAGCCACUGGCUGACGCACGAGCAAGUAGUCCCUGGAGGUGCCUCUUGGGCUGUACAGGGUGUGGGGGAUGGGAGUCCCAGGCUUCGGCUCCUCCUGCGUCCCUGUCCCGGUGGAGUUGGCCCUCCAGCCGGCGGAGUUUCCCUUCUGCGGUCAACCAAAGCGAAUUUCAGCCCCACCGUCUUUGCUCUCUGCCCUUGCCAAAAAAAGUGAUCGAGGGGAAAAAAACCAAGUUUGUCGUAGCUGAAACUUGCGGAUCUCGCCACCCCACGUGGGUUUGGCGUCUGCCGUUGGGUCGCAAGCGGCUGGACUGAGACUAAAGGUCGGGGUGGAGAGUGGGCGAUCUAGGAAGGGAUCAGGGAGGAGACGGCACACUUCAGCUCUUAGGCUUUGCGCCUCGCCAGCUGGCAGUCCCGUCCGCCUGUGACCUCAUCAGGGCACAGCCCUACUGACCCUCAAGUCUGCGCCCCGCAGGGUCACAAAGAAGCUGGUGACCAGCGUGGCCAGAGCCCGGGCAGGGGGCGGGCGCGCGCGACUUAGCUCCGCCGCCCAAGGGACCAACGGGGUGCGCAGCCGGCGCCCCGUGCGCGGGCAGACGCCACCCCGAGCUGGCGGGAGCUGUCACUAGGAGAGAUGUGGCGCUCUCUGACGCUCCGUAGGGGGUCGCCAGCCGGGGCGGGCUGGGGACGCUCUCGCGCGUCUGCGCGGAGCCGCUGCUACACUUCCCAGCCGCGAGGUAACGGAGCGCAAUGGAGACCAGUUGUGGCGCCCUGCUCGUUUGCCUGAUCGUCCGGCUCUGCCUCGCCGCCGCCUCCCGCAGACCCCUGUCAGCGGGCCCCGGGCCCCAGGUUCCCCCUCCGCUUCUGGCUAUGUCAUGGGUCCCCAGACGAGGCCCUAGGCGCUCGGAAGACUCGGGUGAACCCGAGUUUAGGUCUGAAACCUUUCCAGCGCUCGCGUCGUCCCUUCAACUCCCCGCGCGCGAAAAGACCGUAAUUGGGGCGAUGCGAACGCAGCGGGGACGGCCAGACGGCCCGGAAGUGGAGGCACACGUCGGGGUGGCCUCAGGGGAACGGUUCGGAUAAACGUGCAAACCGUCGCUAAUGGGGCAGGGGCCGAGUGAACAGCGGAGAACGUUCCCGGGGCCCCAGUGGUGCAGCGCCCCCUCCCCGGGACAUUCGUCACACAGAUGAGCGCCCACCGUGUGUCUGGCCGGUGCUAGGCAGUCCAGUGCCUGCCUCCUGGGGCUCACUGUCUAGUUACAGGAACACGACACAAUGAGCCCGAUCAUUUCAGAGAGUGGUAAUGGGGACGUGAAGGAAGUAACAUGGUUACCGUGAUGGAGCCUGGGUGGCAAAAGCAGUUUGCCAUGACUGCUAACCGAAAGGUUGGCGGUUGGAACCCACUCUGGCUCCGCAGAAGAAAGGCCUGGCGAACUGCUUCCGUGAAGAUUACACCCAAGAAAACCCUACGGGACAGUUCUAGUAUGUAACACAUGUGGUCGCCGUGAGUCGGGGGACUGGAGGGCAACUAACGACAGUAAUGGGAGGUGAAGGCGGUUGGCGGUAGACUGGCCAGAGGCGGCCAGCCAGAGAAGUGACAUUUGAGCUGAGAUCUGAAAGAUGAGAAGGUUCCGGCCACCGGGGGCGGGGGGUGUCUAGGGCGGCGUUCUGUGCACCGGCAACUAGAUGCCCGAGGCCGCCGGUCUGCACCGCGCAGCCGCGCACUCGGGGGUUAAGCAGCUUGGAGGGCUGGAAGUAGUCCCGGCCCGGCGGCGGCCCCGCCCCUACAGGGCGGAGGGACGCAUCACGCAGGGGUGGGGAAGUCGGAUCCGUGCGCAGGGUGCUAAGGGUGAAACUUUUCAUUGACUUUGCUCACUUCGGGCCGGGGCGCGGGAAGGUGCGGGUCGUAGCCGGAGAAAAGCGAGCGGCUCGGGCGACGCGGGGCCAGAAGGGUAGCACCGCUCGCCAGCCACAGCCCGGACCGUCCUUCGCCCCUCGACACGAGCCACCCUCCGCUCCGCCAUCCCCCGCGCCGUCGCCGCCGGCCGGCCCGCCCGUCCGCCCUCGUCCCCCCGCCGCCGAGCCCGACCUCCAAAACCUGAAAGAAUUAUUCUUGAGAGUCAUAGCCCACACUCCUCUCAUCCGCCCCCAACCCUAAACGAAGGAAGCAUCCAGGCCCCCGGCCCGGCGGCGCCCGGGAAGGAAGGGAGAGCGACCCCCGCCCGCGCCCAGGACCACCCUGGAGGGAGAAGCCGCCCCGCAGCCGGCCGCCCGCCCUACCGCCGCGGAGACCCGAGUGAGUGAGGGAGUGGGGGGCGUGCGGGCGGGGGACCCCACCCCUGGCCACCCCGAAACCCAGCCGGCCCCCGCUCCAUCUCCGCUCUCCUGGAAGCUCCACGUUGCUGUCACCCUCCCCCUGGCUGGCCUUUCUUCUGCCUUCCACUUUCCCUUUGGAACCCCGUUUCUCUGUGAUCCCAGAGCCCCCUCUUCUCCCAGGCCCAAGUCCAAGUAUGGCCCCCUCCUGCGUGGGGUGCAUGUCCUUCAUUACCAGCACCCCAGUUCUUCGUACCCCGGGGACUCGCAGUGUUUUCCUUGUUCCCUAUAGAAACCCCCACCGCUAAAUAAAUCAGAAGAAGGAGAGGAUUCAGGCCUUGUUUUUCUGCUUCGCUUUCCGUGUGCCGGGAAGGGGGUAGUAAUUAUUAAUAGGGUUCAUUUCUGGCCCCUUGGAGCUUGAGGACUGGAGGUGGACCCACCUCCCUUUUGGCGAUGGGACCCGUCAGUGGCGACCAGCCUCAGGCUGCUGAGCCAGGCUUCACCAUUUUGGUGUUUGAGGUCUUUAUCUUUCGUGUGUUAAGGAAAAACGGGGUAGGAAAAGCAGCAUUCCUCGAACAGGACCAGGAAGCGGGUUCUGGUUGGUCUUGGUGCCCGUGCCUGGGAGGAAGAGCCCUACUCUAACCUCUUCGCCUUCCCUCUAGGGGAUGGACUGUGCCCUUGACCAGCGAGGGAAAGAGGGAUUAGAGAGGAGGGCCACGUGCAGACCCUCCCCACCGCCAGGAGCCCACACAGCGGCUUUCAACCUGGGGACCAGCAGAGGGGCCUUUAUCUAACCUUUCUGUCUUUUUUUCCUUCUUGCGCACCCCACCCCAGCCUAGGAGUGGGUCCCCCUUCUUUGACUGUGAUUCUCCGUAGCACAGAAACUCUCCUAUUGCUUCCCUGGGCGCCUGCCACCAUCCCCCUCUUAAGCAGAGGGAGAAAGAAGCUUGUGUAGGAGGAAGGAUUAGGGAGGUUUAACACCCCGUAGGGAGCUUUGCCGAAGAGUUGGUGAGUCCGGUCCUAGAGCGGGCCUUGCAGUGGGAGGAGACUCACAAGCCCAGAAUUUUAAGCAUUAGAUGUUGUUCAGGUGUCAGAUGGACCUUUUUUUUCUUCCUGGCAGAGGAAAAGCCCGACCGGGAGCCUUUUCCCAUUUCCCUCGCCCGGGUCUGGUUACUCGGCCUUGGAUUCGAAGUGGGGUGAGCCCUGGGCCUGCUGGCCCGGGGCCUCCUGAUUGUCGGUCCGGCGCCUCCCCACAGCUUAACUGGGAGUUUCUUUGGCCGAAAGGACGGGAUAACUGGGUUUAGUUCCUGCCUUUCCUGGCCAUGGGGGUGCUGGAGCCCAGCCCGCUGGGCAUUGGUGAAAAGGCUCGUUUCUCUUUGAAUUCAACCGCGGACCCAGACAGCCCGGCCUCCGGAAUUUGGAUUGAGCAGCAGGAUGUUCGGGCGUGGGAUGCGAGGUGACCUGUCUGUGCCGCCCACCCCUUACCCAGGAAAAACUCGUUAGAAGCAGAUCCCUAAUUCAGCGGUCAGGGGACGCGGGGACUGGGGAAAAGUUCACCGUCUCGCGAAGCCGAGACAUGGAUACAGUGGGGUGAUACAUUACGGGGAGUAGGCCUUAAGGGCAGAAUUUAUAUAAAAUGUAUUUAGCGAUGGGCGGUGGGGAGUCGGGGACGCCCGUACGCCACAGCGCGCAUGUGCAUCGGAAACUUUUCCCCGGUUCUUCGACCCUCGGCCAGCGUCCCUACCGGGCAUGCGUAGUUCAGCUGCUGAGCCCUCGCAAAGCAUGCAGGGAAGCGCAGUGUGCGGGGAAAGUAGGUCACUUGCUCCGACAUGAGGCUGAGGAGUCUGAGAACUAGGAUUCCCAGAGUGCAGAGCGCGCCUUCGCCUCCGGCCUCCCCGCCCACAAUGGGGCUCAGUCAAGUCUUCUGGCUUCCGAGGAGCCUGCCGUGCCCUAGAAAGGGCCUUCGUAGUCGGGAGGAGCCCUGUAGUCACACCCGGGCUUGCCCAAUCUGUGUUUUGGGGAGAUGGUGCGAGGCUGUGGGCGGGGUGGUGCGUGCAGUUAGUCGGCACCAGUCCUGGAAGGCGGUCAGCCCACACCCGCCCGGCUGGGCCACCGCCCCGGGACCUGCAGGGUGCGGCCCGACCCGCCAAUCUGACUCCGGCUCUCACUCCCCCGGCAGCGGGCAGCGUUGGGGCACCCCUGACUACCCACUCGUUAAAAUUGAGGAACUCCCUUUUACCGCCGCCCCCCACCCCCCGCAACUCCUCUCUCCAGCCCUCCUCUGAAUCCAGUGGUGGCUGGUUUAUAGGACGGUUGAGAUGUUUAGGACUGUGAGGUGUCUGCAUAUUUUGAUAGGUACUGGUUGGGUGCCCGAUAGAUGCCCUCAUCACUAUGCCUCCUUUACCCCCUUUUUAACACAAUUGUUUUCUUCUGAAAAACCUUAUAUUUGAAGUUCUCGCUAGAAUCUGUUGCCGUAUCUGCUUUGACUGAGGUGUCUUCCCAGCGUCACGCCCGCUCGUCUUCUCCCAUCUUUGUUGAUCUCUAGGCUUUUAUUCGUUAAAACACAAGUCAACACAUAAGAAAAAAAGUCACGAGGGACCUGAAUCCAGGUGUAAGCGCACUCUUGUUUAUUCUCUAAUUGCUGGCAGUAAACGCGUGAAGGAGGGUAAGGUUCCUCAUGAUAUUGAACGGAAUUUAGUUUCACGUUUGCAACUUAUAAAAAUAUUGACAAAAAGUACAUUUUGUUAAACACUUUUUUUAACUACCAUUUUGGUCUUUUGCACUUGAGUCAGGGUUGGAAAAGAUCUCAGAGGUCUUCUCUGGCCUGCUUAAAUUGAAUCUACUUGUUCAUUUUACUGAAGGGUUGUUGUUUCUAAACAUUCUAAUCUCACUGCAUUUCCGUGGGUAUUUUAUAUAUGAGCUCAAAAAUUUUUCCAUAGCAUCAGAAAGAACAAACUCGUCCAAAUGGUUACUUGUCUUUAGCCAAAGACAAGACAGCACCAGUGCUGUAAUCCACUGUUCUAUAAGCUUCUUGAAGUCAGAAUUAGAGCCUGAGCUGAUAGAGCAGAAAAUCUCAUUCUGGUUGUCCAGCAUUUUUGUAAGGUUCCACCCCAUAGCUAUCUAGCCUGGCCUGUUCACCAAUUAAAGAGGUGAAGAAGGUGGCAUUAUAGACUUACUUAUUUGUGUGACAGCAUCACUGAGGUAUAAAUUGGUGAGCAGCUUUAGUUGCUUACGCUGCAGAAAAUGGUUAGCUAGGCAGGGCUGAUGACAGUGGCCCUAUUGUAUUUGGGGGUGGGAAGCUUAUUUCCCAAUGGUUUGGCCUGCAUUUAAAAGGCUCUCAUUUUAAGGACGGAACCGUUUGGGGGAGGUUGGCCUGGAUAGCAAUCAUGUGGCAAAGUUUGAGGAGGCCACCCGGUAUAGCCCUUUGGUCUGGGUCCUAUACUGAGAGGUACAUUUUAAGAGGCCUUGUGGUGGCAUGAGGGGAGUGUUACAGGUUGAGUCUGAGUGGAUUUUACUUUUAGAGAACACUUUGAAAACACUGUUUUUAAUUCCAGCCUUAUUCUCGGGAACUGGUGCCAAGUUUCUUGACAACUCUUUAGUCUUCUCUGUAUCAGACACCUCUGGAAACCCUGGUAGCAUAGCGAUUAAGAGCUAUGGCUGCUAAGCAAAAGGUUGGCAGUUUGAAUCCACCAGGCACUCCUUGAAACCCUAUGGGGCAGUUCUACUCUGUCCUAUAGGGUCGGAAUUGACUUGACGGCAUUGGGUAUGUCAGACACCUCUAGUGGACAGCUGUGGCCCUUUUAAAUCUCCAUUCUUGAGAGAAGGCUUGCAGACCUGGUGGCUAGCUUUUAUCUGAUGGUGAACUCGAUCCUCGUAAACAGGGAGCCUGUUAUUGUUCCUACCAUUCUUCUUGUCGUGAAACCUUGAAGGACCCUGGAAUUGACCUAUGGUGAGAAUAGACAUUUGAAGAAACUUGGAGAUUAAGUCUGUGAUGGAGGCUAGGAGAGGGGGAUUUCCUGAGUCCUGAUCAUGCUGUGGAGGGUUUGAGGGAGGGCCCUGGUCAGGGCACCUCCGCUGCCUCCCCAUGUGACCCUCUGUUUCCUCAUACCUGAUAUGGGGGUUGGACUGGGUCUGGCCACUGUGUGUACUUUUAGCUUUACUGCCACCAUAAUCAUCCAGUGCAUCUUCUCUGAUACAUUCAUCCCAGGGAUCUUACUCUGAGGAUUCAGUCCUAAAAAUGUCCCUGGGAACAGUGGCCCCACACCUGAGAGUUACGAGAAAUGGUUUGGGCCAAGCGUUCAGAAAGCUCAAGAUCCUCAAGGUGGGAAUGCUCCAUACUGGACCCAGCAGGGAUUUGAAUCAGAAUCCAGCCCCAAGCCUUUCAUAGGACAGAUGCCCUUGACUGAUCGUGGAUCAGCCCCAUCUCGUGCUGAGCUCAGCACUGCCGCGCCCAAAGAUUCAGCCAGGAACAUGUUCUGGGCCUGCCUCCCCUCAGCAGCGGUGCUUUUCAGUUCAGUUUCUCUUCGAGCAUGAGCCCAGGAGCCACCCUUUGGGAGAAAGUGAGGAGAUUAGGAUCACUUGCCCUUGGAAUCUCACAGAUCAUUUUCCUUAGACGUGAGGCUGGCCCAGACGUAGGGAGUAAGCCUUUCUGACCUCAGUGGGAUCUGGCAGCAAGAGAAUCCCAAAAUAACAAUCUCAGACUUUCUCUCCAGAGAUCUCCAAACACUUGACAAAGCUGAGCCAAUGCCGAGGACAGGUGGUGGGACAGGUCCUGGGAGACUGAGUGAUGAUGGGCCCCAGCUGGAGGCUGUGAGGUGGUGGAAAAUGUCUUCCCUCUGCUACCCUUGGCACCAACACUCUAGCCAGAAACUAGAGAGUGCCUCAGGCCACCCCAGUGCUGCUGCAAACACUUCUUUGGCCUACACAGCCCUGCUGCCUCUCCUUUUGUCUCAUUCUCUGGGGCAGCCUUUGGUGCCCCAGAGAAUGAGACAAAAGGAGAGGCAGCAGGGCUGUGUAGGCCAAGGCAGCCUGGGUCCCUUACGCCCACAUCUCUGGUUCUGACACAUCUUAACUUCUUCCUGGGGGUUGUGCUCUUGUCUCCAUUCUUGGAGGCUCUCUGGAUGGAAAUGCAAGCCCCAGUUAUACUGUAGAGUUCCUAAAUCAGUUCUGCCAACCUAGACUGGGGAAGAGGGCAUGCAUACCCAUGGAGCCCAGAAGGACAAAUUGGCUGUGGAAAUUUGGCAGUGCUACUUCCCGUUCAAUCAGCUGUAUCCUUUUCCAUGUAAGGAGGGAGACUAAAGAUUUUAAACUUAUCUCUUGGCCUGUGACAGUCUGGGGACUCAACUCCACCAAGACAUUGCCGAAACAGUUAGCAAGAGCCAGCCCUUCUCUAGCUGAAUUAGGAAGUUGAUUUUUUUGUGUGUGUCAUUUGUACACACAAAAUGGUGAGAACUACAGCACCCUUAUUUCCUUAGAAUUACCUAAAAAUAAAGCUAAUUUUAUCAAAUGCCUACUACAUGCCAGGUACAGCGUGAUACAGUUUACAUCCUUGAGCUAAAUCUUCAUGAUAGCCCAUUUUAUAGAUGAGGAAACUAAGGCUCAAAAGAAAAUUAACUUGCCCGCAGUCAGGCAAUAACACUAGUCACUGGUGGGGCAGAAACGGGAUCUACAUGAUCUGUUAUCGUUGAUGUUAAAUGCUAUCAAGUUGGCUCCGACUCACAGCGACCCUACGUACGACAGAAUGAAACAUUGCCUGGCCCUGCGCCAUGCUCACAAUUGUUAUGCUUGAGCCCACUGUGUCAGUCCAUCUCUUUGAGGACGUUCCUCCUUUUCGCUGACCCUCUGCUUUACCAAGCUUGAUGUCCUUCUCCAGGGACUGAUCCCUCCUGAUAGCAUGUCUAGAGUAUAUGAGACGUAGUCUCACCAUCUUUGCUUCUAAGGAGCAUUCUGGCUAUUCUUCCAAGACAAAUUUGUUCGUUCACUUAGCAGUCCAGAAUAUUCAGGAUUCUUCGCCAGCACCAUCACUCACAGGCAUCAUUUUUUCUUUGGCCUACCUUACUCAUUGCCCGGUUUUCAUGU